GUGAGUGUGUGUGUGUGUGUGUAUAUAUAUCUCAACACUUUUGAUUCGACCUUCAAAAACUCUCCAGACAUGAUGUAUCACACUUUAUAGUCUCAUCAGUAAUAU